ensembl:lncRNA
CUGGACAAUUAAGUCCAAUCCGUGGAGGACCCAUCUUUUAAUUUAAAGGACUUAAAGGUACUAAAAUCUUGGAGCCCGUUACCAUGAAACACAUUCGGGGGUCUUGUAAAGUUCAUGCCUUGAUGACUCAGAGCUGUUUCACAGACACGAGGGAGACUUACACAAUACUGUGCAGGUGGUUUUAAUGUUGUGGCUCUUGUGUGUAUGUUUGCUCUGCACUCAUGUUGCUUUCAGUGCCCUCUGGCAGCGUGUGAACAACUGCUCGGUAAUGCCAGCUUUGAAUACAUCCUUGCUUCUGACAUGAUUGCAGCUGCAUUAUGUCAAUAUACUUAUAUGUGGCAGUUCUGCCUCCCAUUCAAAGUAAUAUCUACAUAUUCACAUCAAGUGAUCCAUAACAUAACUGAUUCAGACUGUGACCUUAAUUUAGAGGAAUGUGAAUGUUUUGAGGCAUCCUAAUGUCUGCGCUCACAGAUGUGUCUUUCUACUCCUGCCUUUCAUGGAUCUCUUUGAAACGGCUGCCUUUGUGAUGUGAGCUGCUUCAAAACAUGUGAAGGCAUUCCCUCUGAGGACUAUUGAGCCUUUUGAAUAUUGUUUUUUUUUUUUCUCUUUAUUGGCACAUUGAACCUUUGCAGUUAUCCUCCCUUGGCUGCAACCAGCAUAGUAAACACAUUAGAAAGUGUUUUGCUGCAACAUCGAGAGUCAUCUUCCACCGCUUCACCCCCGAUAUUUAAACACAACUCUUUUAAAUCUCUAGCUGAUAUGUAUCUUCGUUUUGGCACCUUGCUUGAACCAUUAAAAAAAUGCCCUAAUUAAUAUGCAGUCAGGUCUGCUUGAACUUUUCCUACAACCUUGCUGCCAUGUGAAUCCAAGACUCCUUAGAUGGACUGUGUCCUGAAAGUCAAGCUUGGUCUUCCCAGAGGAAUCUAAAGAGAUCUAGUCAAUCCUUUCUGGACAUUCACUUAUUCAUGUGAGGGAUGUGGAAGGAAGGAGGGAAGGAUGCGGGGCAGUGCAGUAAGCCUUAGGUUAGGUUAUUUAAUGCAGUGCGGGAUGAAGGUGGUGAAAGGCUCGCAGGACAGAUAUAAGAUUAAAAAAAAGGGGAUUUUGCCAUCCAUCCAUUGGAUUUA